CGCGGUAAUACGUAGGGCGCGAGCGUUGUCCGGAAUUAUUGGGCGUAAAGAGCUUGUAGGCGGUUUGUCGCGUCUGCUGUGAAAGGCCGGAGCUUAACUCCGUGUAUUGCAGUGGGUACGGGCAGACUAGAGUGCAGUAGGGGAGACUGGAAUUCCUGGUGUAGCGGUGGAAUGCGCAGAUAUCAGGAGGAACACCGAUGGCGAAGGCAGGUCUCUGGGCUGUAACUGACGCUGAGAAGCGAAAGCAUGGGGAGCGAACAGGAUUAGAUACCCUGGUAGUCCAUGCCGUAAACGUUGGGCACUAGGUGUGGGGAACAUUCCACGUUUUCCGCGCCGUAGCUAACGCAUUAAGUGCCCCGCCUGGGGAGUACGGCCGCAAGGCUAAAACUCAAAGGAAUUGACGGGGGCCCGCACAAGCGGCGGAGCAUGCGGAUUAAUUCGAUGCAACGCGAAGAACCUUACCAAGGCUUGACAUGCAUUAGAUCGCGUCAGAGAUGGCGUUUCCCUUCGGGGCUGGUAUACAGGUGGUGCAUGGUUGUCGUCAGCUCGUGUCGUGAGAUGUUGGGUUAAGUCCCGCAACGAGCGCAACCCUUGUCCCGUGUUGCCAGCACGUUGUGGUGGGGACUCGCGGGAGACUGCCGGGGUCAACUCGGAGGAAGGUGGGGAUGACGUCAAAUCAUCAUGCCCCUUAUGUCUUGGGCUUCACGCAUGCUACAAUGGCCGGUACAGAGGGUUGCGAUACUGUGAGGUGGAGCUAAUCCCUAAAAGCCGGUCUCAGUUCGGAUUGGGGUCUGCAACUCGACCCCAUGAAGUCGGAGUCGCUAGUAAUCGCAGAUCAGCAACGCUGCGGUGAAUACGUUCCCGGGCCUUGUACACACCGCCCGUCAAGUCACGAAAGUUGGUAACACCCAAAGCCGGUGGCCUAACCCUUUUGGGAGGGAGCCGUCUAAGGUGGGAUUGGCGAUUGGGACUAAGUCGUAACAAGGUAGCCGUACCGGAAGGUGCGGCUG
rnacentral:rRNA from 1 species